rnacentral:rRNA from 1 species
UACGAAGGGGGCUAGCGUUGUUCGGAAUUACUGGGCGUAAAGCGCACGUAGGCGGAUUGUUAAGUCAGAGGUGAAAGCCUGGAGCUCAACUCCAGAACUGCCUUUGAUACUGGCAAUCUCGAGUCCGGAAGAGGUAAGUGGAACUGCGAGUGUAGAGGUGAAAUUCGUAGAUAUUCGCAAGAACACCAGUGGCGAAGGCGGCUUACUGGUCCGGUACUGACGCUGAGGUGCGAAAGCGUGGGGAGCAAACAGG